rnacentral:rRNA from 1 species
CGUUUGACGUUAGCGACAGAAGAAGACACCGGCUAACUCCGUGCCAGCAGCGCGGUAAGUACGGAGGGUGCGAGCGUUAAUACGGAAUUACUGGGCGUAAAGACGCAUGCAGGUGGUUUGUUAAGUACAGAUGUGAAAGACCCGGGCGUCAACCUACGGAAUAGCAUUUAGUAAACUAGGCAGACUAGAGUACUGUAGAGGGGGGUAGGAAUUUCAGGUGUAGCGGUGAAAUGCGUAGAGAUCUGAAGGAAUACCGGUGGCGAAGGCGGCCCCCUCGGACAGAUACUGACACUCAGAUGCGAAAGCGUGGGGAGCAAACAGGAUUAGAUACCCUGGUAG